rnacentral:rRNA from 1 species
AUGAACGCUGGCGGCGUGCCUCAUCCCUGCAAGUCGAGCGAACAGACGAGGAGCUUGCUCCUCUGACGUUAGCGGCGGACGGGUGAGUAACACGUGGAUAACCUACCUAUAAGACUGGGAUAACUUCGGGAAACCGGAGCUAAUACCGGAUAAUAUAUUGAACCGCAUGGUUCAAUAGUGAAAGACGGUUUUGCUGUCACUUAUAGAUGGAUCCGCGCCGCAUUAGCUAGUUGGUAAGGUAACGGCUUACCAAGGCAACGAUGCGUAGCCGACCUGAGAGGGUGAUCGGCCACACUGGAACUGGGACACGGUCCAGACUCCUACGGGAGGCCGCAGUAGGGAAUCUUCCGCAAUGGGCGAAAGCCUGACGGAGCAACGCCGCGUGAGUGAUGAAGGUCUUCGGAUCGUAAAACUCUGUUAUUAGGGAAGAACAAAUGUGUAAGUAACUAUGCACGUCUUGACGGUACCUAAUCAGAAAGCCACGGCUAACUACGUG